UGAUGAGAUUCACUAUUUUUUUUUUUAUUUCUUUAGAGAUAUGUUUUACUUUGUUUGAAUAGUGUUCCCUCUUAAGUCUAUUCCUACCACACCAUAUGAGAUGUGACAUAGUAAGAAAUUGAGUCUUGAUCAUCUCAGAAUUUAAGGAUAUUCGACCCAUGUCAAGUGCAAUAGGUGGAUAAGUUAGAGGUGAGGUGUAUGAGAGUUCAUUUCAUAGGAUAUCCUAAAGAGUCUUUGGGAUCC
rnacentral:lncRNA from 1 species